rnacentral:rRNA from 1 species
AACGAACGCUGGCGGCAUGCCUAACACAUGCAAGUCGAACGAGAUCUUCGGGUCUAGUGGCGCACGGGUGCGUAACGCGUGGGAAUCUGCCCUUUGGUUCGGAAUAACAGUUGGAAAUGACUGCUAAUACCGGGUGAUGUCUUCGGACCAAAGAUUUAUCGGCAAGGGAUGAGCCCGCGUAGGAUUAGGUAGUUGGUGGGGUAAAGGCCUACCAAGCCGACGAUCCUUAGCUGGUCUGAGAGGAUGAUCAGCCACACUGGGACUGAGACACGGCCCAGACUCCUACGGGAGGCAGCAGUGGGGAAUAUUGGACAAUGGGCGCAAGCCUGAUCCAGCAAUGCCGCGUGAGUGAUGAAGGCCUUCGGGUCGUAAAGCUCUUUUACCAGGGAUGAUAAUGACAGUACCUGGAGAAUAAGCUCCGGCUAACUCCGUGCCAGCCGCCGCAGUAA